AUAUGACAGUGUGCUUCUGUGUCUGUUUUUAUGCACACAUCUCUGUAUGUGCCUCUGUGUGUCAGGGUGUGUGUUUUUAUGUCAGUGGGAGUAUAUGUUGCUAAGAUAGUUGUAGGAACCACCUGCGGCUUUAAAACUUGAGUGCCUGGAUAUUUCUUUUUUGACUUAGUGUGUGUAUAUGUGUCAUGGUGUGGGCAUGUAUUAAUGUUUGUGUGUGUCAGGGUGCAUGUGUGUAUGUCGGUGUGUAUCUAUGUGUGUAUGUGUGUGUAUGUGUCAGUGUGUAUCUAUAUGUGUGUAUAUGUCGGUGUCUAUAUGAAUUUGAGUGUAUGUGUCGGUGCAUUUAUAUGCAUCUCUAUGUUAAUGUGCAUGAAUAUCUGUGUAAAUAUGCAUGUAUGUUGUAGUGUGCAUGCAUCUAAUCAGUCAAACACCAGCACAACAUACAAGCACACUCCUGCAAUCUAACACAAAUAUUGCAUACAAACACACCCCUGCAUUCAAUCUCAAAAAUAUAUAUAUAUAAACACAGCCCUUCACAGAAACACAAAUACCUCACACAAAUGUACAUCCACAUUUAAAAGUGAACAUUACAUUCAGACACACCCCUGCAAUCAAACACAAAUAUUACAUACAAACACACUCCUGUAUUAAAACACAAUAAAUGUAUACAAGAAUCCCUUCAAACACCAAGGCAGGGAGCUUGCAAUGCAAAUGCGUGCUGUGACACAAGGGCAGUGGGCUCUAUAUGCAAUAACCUUUGCAAUGAUGCAAAGUUUUAAUGAUGCCUACAGUCAAAAUUAAGAACCAUAAAUAAUACAUGAUGGUUUGGAUAGAAUGCAAUGUACUCCAUUGUGGUAAUGUUAGAUAUUGAAAUUAAAAUUUUGUUUAAUUCUGAUUAUACCCCUGAACACUUCAAAUGUUUAUUUGCUCCAUGUUGCUGAACUGAUGUGGAAAGGUUUCUGAUAAUGAUGGAAGUUACAUACAAAUUAUGGAUGCCUGUAGACUAAUUCUGGCAUUCUGUACCUAGUCAAUUAAGAAGAGACAAUCAAGUCAUAUGGGCAUACAAAACAAUACCCCUUGAAAAUAUACCUGCAUAGGUUAAAAAAAAAAGUAAAAGAAAAGUAUAAAAAACAUUAAACAUACCGUACCUCAUCACUCAAUAAAAAGGUGUGUACAGAGAGCACAUUACAAUAGCAAUAUUUGACUAUAAAUUCUCAGAUGCCCUUAUAGUGUGACCUUAAGUCAUGAAAUUAAAGGAGUGGGGGUGACAUUUCCUCUUAUUACUCCUUCAUAUUGUGACCAUUACAGUAUAACAGCAUGUUGUGUAAUGUAAUAACUGUUUUGCUGUUAUAGUUGUCUCUUGGAAGCGUUGCACUCUGGAUGAACUCCAUCCUUGGGUUUUCUACUGUAAUUGCUUUGUGGCCCAUUGGAAUUCUGUUUCGUGAAGCCAGAACACAGCUGGCUGAGCAGAACAUUGGGACAAAGUUUGCAGUUUUCCAGGUAAGACUUACAAUUUCACUACUUACUUUUCUCACAAUACGAUCUUGGAGCAUACAAGGAUUUAUUCACUAAAAUGAGACUUCAAAGUGAAUUCCACAUUUAAGGCCAUAAUAGUCAAACUGGAAUUAUAACUGACUUGGAGAAUUUUUCAGUUGGCUAUUUUGUCAUUAAAUUUGUAAUUCACUCUGAAUUCUCACUUUAGUGAAUAAGCCUGAAUAAGACAGUGUGAACCAAAUUUAGAUCACAUUGUGAAUUUUAUAUAGGAACAUUUUCUGCAAUACCCAUAAUUGGUGUCAAUGAAAAAAAAGAGAUGAUUUUCAAACUUUGCUAUUAUGGCCUUUAUUUUUCAGUUUGGUUGUCAACACACCUCAAUGUAUUGUUUUGUUAGUUGGGGUAGUACAAUUGUUUGGUAAAGAUACAGUUGGUCUUCUCAACAACAAAAACAGGGCACAGGAGAUAUCUUUAUAAACCUUGGCAGAUUGGUGGGUACCAAGUAUCUCUUUAACAACAGACAGUCUUGCAAUCUGCAACUAUUUAUCAUAAUGUAGAUUCAGCUGCAAUAUAUAUAUAUAUAUAUAUGUGUGUGUGUGUGUGUGUAUAUAUAUAUAUAUAGUGCUUCUUUAAAUUUGUUACUGAGAAUAUGCAAACAUUCUAUUCAUGACAACAGACAAAAAUGCAAUAUAUAUCUUUUCUAAAAAGAAUUACAUUUUGUAAUGAGUUUUGUAGCAAAUAAAGCAAUGAAUAGUUAGACAAAGAGAUAUUUUGUGUAGUUAAAAAAAUAUACUUCUACAUUUAUAGCCUUGUUUAGUAGUAACUUAGGGUAUACAUAUUACCACAACUGUAUAUCAUUAAAGGGAUACUAUAGCUCCAGGACUACAAAGCUGUGUUCCUGCCACUAUAGCUCCCCCUUUUUCCCCCUCCCUCACACCCCUCCUCCCCGCCCAGGUAAAUAAAGGGUUAAAACUAUUUUAUUUACUUACCUUUCCCCAGCACCAAUGUCUCUAAGCGCUGGGUCGAUACUCCACCCCCUCUGACGGUCUAUGACAUGCGCGUGCUAAUGUGCAUGAGCAGAAAAUGCACAUUAGACCUCUUCAUAGGAAAGCAUUGAAUCAAUUCUUUCCUAUGGGGAAAAAAAUCUGAUGCUGGAGGUACUCAUGCUGCUGGAGUACCUCCAGCAUCAGAUUUUUUUCCCCAUAGGAAAGAAUUGAUUCAAUGCUUUCCUAUGAAGAGGUCUAAUGUGCACUUGACAGGCUCAGAAAAGUCAAAAAUAGUGAGAUAUCUUGCAGAGGGAUGCAGCACUCUUAAAAUUGCAAAGCUUCUGAAGCAUGAUCAUCGAACAAUCAAGCGUUUCAUUCAAAAUAGUCAACAGGGUCGCAAGAAGCGUGUGGAAAAACCAAGGCGCAAAAUAACUGCCCAUGAACUGAGAAAAGUCAAGCGUGCAGCUGCCACGAUGCCACUUGCCACCAGUUUGGCCAUAUUUCAGAGCUGCAACAUCACUGAGUGCCCAAAAGCACAAGGUGUGCAAUACUCAGAGACAUGGCCAAGGUAAGAAAGGCUGAAAGACGACCACCACUGAACAAGACACACAAGCUGAAACGUCAAGACUGGGCCAAGAAAUAUUUCAAGACUGAUUUUCUAAGGUUUUAUGGACUGAUGAAAUGAGAGUGAGUCUUGAUGGGCCAGAUGGAUGGGCCCGUGGCUGGAUUGGUAAAGGGCAGAGAGCUCCAGUCCGACUCAGACGCCAGCAAGGUGGAGGUGGAGUACCGGUUUGGGCUGGUAUCAUCAAAGAUGAGCUUGUGGGGCCUUUUCGGGUUGAGGAUGGAGUCAAGCUCAACUCCCAGUCCUACUGCCAGUUCCUGGAAGACACCUUCUUCAAGCAGUGGUACAGGAAGAAGUCUGCAUCCUUCAAGAAAAACAUGAUUUUCAUGCAGGACAAUGCUCCAUCACACGCGUCCAAGUACUCCACAGCGUGGCUGGCAAGAAAGGGUAUAAAAGAAGAAAAUCUAAUGACAUGGCCUCCUUGUUCACCUGAUCUGAACCCCAUUGAGAACCUGUGGUCCAUCAUCAAAUGUGAGAUUUACAAGGAGGGAAAACAGUACACCUCUCUGAACAGUGUCUGGGAGGCUGUGGUUGCUGCUGCACGCAAUGUUGAUGGUGAACAGAUCAAAACACUGACAGAAUCCAUGGAUGGCAGGCUUUUGAGUGUCCUUGCAAAGAAAGGUGGCUAUAUUGGUCACUGAUUUGUUUUUGUUUUGUUUUUGAAUGUCAGAAAUGUAUAUUUGUGAAUGUUGAGAUGUUAUAUUGGUUUCACUGGUAAUAAUAAAUAAUUGAAAUGGGUAUAUAUUUGUUUUUUGUUAAGUUGCCUAAUAAUUAUGCACAGUAAUAGUCACCUGCACACACAGAUAUCCCCUAACAUAGCUAUAACUAAAAACAAACUAAAAACUACUUCCAAAAAUAUUCAGCUUUGAUAUUAAUGAGUUUUUGGGUUCAUUGAGAACAUGGUUGUUGUUCAAUAAUAAAAUUAAUCCUCAAAAAUACAACUUGCCUAAUAAUUCUGCACUCCCUGUAGAAACUGACACUUUUCUAAAUAAUCCUUGUUACACCCCCAGCUGUCAGUUAGACAGCCAGUCAUGUUACUUCCUGAUUGCUUAGCUCAGUGGAGCUAAACUCAAUAGACAGGCAAUUGGUCAGAGCACCUGCCUAGCAAAGACUGUGAAGUCUGUAAUUGGGCAGCCAUAGAAAGUCUGGGCUGGAAAGAAGGGGAGGACUUGCAAAGGCUUUACAUAAAAAAGCUGCAGCUUUUGCAAUCUGUUUUAGAUACAACUCCAAUGAAAAGAUUCAUAAUUAAAUGCAUGCAUGUUUUCAUUGAGAGUAAAUACAUUGAUUGUAUUUAUUUAUUUAUUUAUUUAUUUCUGCAGUGGAGUGCAGUGUGCCUUUAAGGCACAAGAACCAGACAGUGUGGUUACUGUUAAAAAUAACUGAGAUAAAAGAUAGCAGAGAACAUCAUCAUGGAAAAUACAGUUACCACAACAAAUCAUGUAAUCUAGCUGAUAAGUACCCAGAAAAAGAUAAGCAUCAAGUAUAAGGGUAGAACAUGCAAGAAGGAGAACUUCUAAUCCACUAGGUUACGCAAAAAGUCAACACGUAGCAGAAUUAUAAAGGCCAAACUCCAAGCCAAGGAGGGUUGGCUUCCAGUGCAAGCAUUAUAUUAGGGGUGGCCAAAAUGUAGAUCCCUGGCUAUUGUAGAACUACAAACCCCAUAAUGCUUUGCUAGGUUUAAGGACACCAAUUACAGAAAACAGGGCAACCUUUGUUGUAAUGAAAACAACAAGAAAUGCAACAUAUACUUGAAAAUGCAUUGUUUUUUAUAUUUAUGGAUGAACAGAAAAUAUGUGUUUUCCUUAAACCAGGUACUUCUUGUUUCCCCAAGUAUCAAGGUUUGUAACAAUCCCAUGUGUUUGAGAUUCAAUACUUUAUUUAAUGAUUUUGAAAACAUUAUAUUGUUUUAGAUAGUAUUUCAACAUAGAACCACACAGAAAUAAGCCUUGUGCUCACAUUUACACUAAUUUUGGCCAGCAACAACAGCUAUUGUAAGCAUCAUCCAAAAUAUUUACUAUGAACUAUUUUUUUUUUUUUAGAGAUAUCAUCAUAUUAAUUGUUAUUUCAUUUUUUAGAUUCUCCUCAUCUUGACUACUCUGCAGAGCUCAAUCUUCAACAUCCUGGCUAGUGUUGGACAGCUGCCUUGUGUGCCACCAUAUAUGUAUAAAGCCAGAUCUCAGA